UAGGGAAUCUUCGGCAAUGGACGAAAGUCUGACCGAGCAACGCCGCGUGAGUGAAGAAGGUUCUCGGAUCGUAAAACUCUGUUGUUAGAGAAGAACAAGGACGUUAGUAACUGAACGUCCCCUGACGGUAUCUAACCAGAAAGCCACGGCUAACUACGUGCCAGCAGCCGCGGUAAUACGUAGGUGGCAAGCGUUGUCCGGAUUUAUUGGGCGUAAAGCGAGCGCAGGCGGUUUCUUAAGUCUGAUGUGAAAGCCCCCGGCUCAACCGGGGAGGGUCAUUGGAAACUGGGAUACUUGAGUGCAGAAGAGGAGAGUGGAAUUCCACGUGUAGCGGUGAAAUGCGUAGCUAUAUGGAGGAACACCAGUGGCGCAGGCGGCUCACUGGUCUGUAACUGACGCUGAGGCUCGAAAGCGUGGGGAGCAAACAGG
rnacentral:rRNA from 1 species